AUUGAACGCUGGCGGCAUGCUUUACACAUGCAAGUCGAACGGUAACAGGCCGCAAGGUGCUGACGAGUGGCGAACGGGUGAGUAAUGCAUCGGAACGUGCCCAGUCGUGGGGGAUAACGCAGCGAAAGCUGUGCUAGUACCGCAUACGAGCUACGGACGAAAGCGGGGGACCGUAAGUCCUCGCGCGAUUGGAACGGCCGAUGACAGAUUAGGUAGUUGGUGGGGUAAAGGCCUACCAAGCCGACGAUCUGUAGCUGGUCGGAGAGGACGACCAGCCACACUGGGACUGAGACACGGCCCAGACUCCUACGGGAGGCAGCAGUGGGGAAUUUUGGACAAUGGGCGCAAGCCUGAUCCAGCAAUGCCGCGUGCAGGAAGAAGGCCUUCGGGUUGUAAACUGCUUUUGUACGGAACGAAACGGCCUGGGUUAAUACCCUGGGCUAAUGACGGUACCGUAAGAAUAAGCACCGGCUAACUACGUGCCAGCCGCCGCGGUAAUAC
rnacentral:rRNA from 1 species